UACGUAGGGUGCAAGCGUUGUCCGGAAUUACUGGGCGUAAAGAGCUCGUAGGCGGCUCGUCGCGUCGGCUGUGAAAACCUGGGGCUCAACCCCGGGCCUGCAGCCGAUACGGGCGAGCUAGAAUUCGGUAGGGGAGACUGGAAUUCCUGGUGUAGCGGUGAAAUGCGCAGAUAUCAGGAGGAACACCGGUGGCGAAGGCGGGUCUCUGGGCCGAUAUUGACGCUGAGGAGCGAAAGCGUGGGGAGCGAACAGG
rnacentral:rRNA from 1 species